rnacentral:rRNA from 1 species
AUGGUAGAUGGGUCAUGGGAGAUGGGGCCACUCGACUCAGCCAAGGCAUCGGAGGACCAAAUCUGGACCGAAGCAGUUCACCAGCACGGGCGACAGAGAGAUUGGACGAGGAAGCCGAGCCGUUCGCGAGGCUAUCGACUCGCCCUUCGCUCGUGGGGCAGAGAAUAACCAGGAGGUGGAGCGGUCCACGGCGUCGUCGCCCUCGCCUUCGAGCCAUCCAUGACGUCGUCGCCAUCACCUAGCCACUCACCGCACAGGACGCAGAGAUGGGCGAGGACGCCUGUGGGAAGCAGCAGCGGCUCGAUGAUGACAGGAAGCAACAGUUCGCUCAUUCCUAGGUAUGUGAACCCUCUUGUCAUCUACACGGAUAGCUUUCUGUAAUUGUGGCAAGGUGCAGAGAUGGUUGUACAGUCGGUUAUCCUGUCAUUGAAACCAUUCAUAAGGAUAACAUCUGUCAUGUCGUUGAAGCUCCUGCUGAGAUACCUGAGAAAAUGAAGAAGUUAGCUACCAAUGUAGCUGAAAAAAACUAUCAAAUCAUUAGAAGGUUUUAUCGAACGAAGUAGCCCCUAGGGCUCACAUUAGUGGACACCAUAUAAUCCAGACAUGGCACUCUUCACAAUACGAGCAACAUCUACGUGCUAUUCUUGGACUUCCUGUUGGUAACCCUGUAAUUAAAGCACCCGCAACCAUAAUGAACAAAAUCCUGGGCUAUGAUGAGGUAUGUAUAUAUUUGAUUUUGUGUUGAUUUGCCCUCCAUGUUUUGCUAUGUUAAACAUUGAUAGUUAGGUCAAUAUUUGCUUUAUUAUUUAGUAACUCAUUAUUUUUGUAGGCCACCAUGUUAUUAUACUGGUUACCAAUUGGUACAAUGCAAUUUGGGAUUUUUUUUGGGCCCAUUAGCUGAUUAAGAGGGCGCUAAAUAUUUCAGGUGCAUCAGUCUAUUGGCAUGCAAAGGCAGGUUCUGCCCACACACAUAGAUGUUUGUUGCAGAAAGGUUUUAAUUAUGCUUAUUGCAUUCUUGUGCCAUUGAGUAUUAUUUAAAGAAUUGUUCUUCCACAUAUUUGGAAGCAAAGUAAGAUGGGUCAUAUUACAAUUGUGGGGCGUUAAUUAUGUGUUCAGUGUAAAAGCACAUUUGGACAAGUACACAAGAAUUUGUUGUUAGGGUCUACCGACAAAACAUGUAGGUGAGGCCAUUCAUGUACAUCAUCUUAUCUUGUCCUUUCUUUGUUCUGUUUUCCCCUGAUUAUGCCUGCAAUGGAAGUGCUUAUUUAGACAGUGCAUAUUGGAACAACAUUGAUCUAUUCUGCUUUUCAUUUAGACACUGCAUCUUUUCCUGUACUUUCUUUGUCCUAUUUCCCCCUUCUGUAAUGUGAAUUUCAAAUGGAACAAAUAAAAUAGUAAAUCACCUCCUUGUCAGCAAGAAGUUUCUUGCUGAAAACAUUUGGCGACUGAUCUGUAACAUUAGAAGCCAUGUCACUCUUACCAUGUUGUGAGCAAUGCAACAUUUCUCUUGCUAUUUUGUGUAUAAAUAUUUCAUCGGAAAGGAUUGUGCAACUAUGCCUUAUAUAUCAUAACUCUUGGAUGCAACUGUUUGCACAACUUUUGUGCGAGGAUGUAUUACUACUUUGAUGAAAAUUUACUUGUUGUUUUUUGUGUGCAUUGCAUUUCAGAUCUGACACAUAAAGGCACCUUGCCUUGUAUCAUGCAUUCCGCCCCAUAGACAUGUUCUUUAUCAGAUCUGAUGGUUCUCUGGUGGUUACAUGCCGACUGAAUCGAAUUGGGUUGGAUGCUCAGGUUUCUUGUCAACCAUUUAAUUUUAAGCAUUAUCUUUCAUGUCAUAGGCUAUUAUGUGCCAAUCCCUAAUAAAGGAAUCUGGUCCAGAAUUCUGUGGUGUACAAUAUCUCAAAAACUCUUUGGAAUUGGUAGGUAAAAAUUGAUUUGUUGUGAGCAGAAAGGAUCUUGAUAUGGUGCUUAAAAGCACUAACCCCGUCCUUAUUGUUCACAUACAGAUUUUUAUAUUUAUUUUAAUCGAUUCACUUUCGUCGGCAUUUUAGCGUGUGUUCCUUUUCAUGGCCAGCUUUACCAUUUGCUCUAGAAGGUGUUUUUCAACUCGGAAAGAACAAAGGAUUUGAGACUGCUUUAUCUUUCAUGUAAUAGUUCAGUUCAACUGUUUAUUUUUUCCGUAGUUCAUAAUCAGUCUGAACAAUAGUACAUCAGUAAAAAUAAUAGUAGUUAAUUUAAGACUGCUUUUACCUUUCCUGCAAUAAUUCAAGGUGAUUGUUCUUAGUUUUUUUUUUCUGUAGUAGUUAAUUUGAUGAUCUAAUUUACAAAAAAGCAAGCACCUCUGUUUGUAGGUUGCAGGUUCCAAGGUGUGAUCGUUGUCCAUUUGUUUGAGGUCGGGCAACAACGAUAAUUAGCAGCCCUGUAUCCUAACCAGGAGAACAUCCCUUCCCCAAUAUUGGUUUUUAGAUUAUGUUCAGUUAAUUAGAAAAAUAGUGGGCUUGCUAAAACAUCGCAAUUUUCCAUGUGAGUCGAUAUGGAAUUAACAAACACUAUAUGCAUCAAUGUCUAUUUAAUGGCCUAAAAACACUGGCAUGUUUGGAUCUAAUUUUUCAUCUGUACGUAUCAGCGGUGAGCUAUUCCCACUUGAG